AUUGAACGCUGGCGGCAGGCCUAACACAUGCAAGUCGAGCGGAUGAAGGGAGCUUGCUCCUGGAUUCAGCGGCGGACGGGUGAGUAAUGCCUAGGAAUCUGCCUGGUAGUGGGGGAUAACGUCCGGAAACGGGCGCUAAUACCGCAUACGUCCUGAGGGAGAAAGUGGGGGAUCUUCGGACCUCACGCUAUCAGAUGAGCCUAGGUCGGAUUAGCUAGUUGGUGGGGUAAAGGCCUACCAAGGCGACGAUCCGUAACUGGUCUGAGAGGAUGAUCAGUCACACUGGAACUGAGACACGGUCCAGACUCCUACGGGAGGCAGCAGUGGGGAAUAUUGGACACUGGGCGAAAGCCUGAUCCAGCCAUGCCGCGUGUGUGAAGAAGGUCUUCGGAUUGUAAAGCACUUUAAGUUGGGAGGAAGGGCAGUAAGUUAAUACCUUGCUGUUUUGACGUUACCAACAGAAUAAGCACCGGCUAACUUCGUG
rnacentral:rRNA from 1 species